rnacentral:rRNA from 1 species
ACGCUCGACACCUACGGGGAGGCAGCAGUGGGGAAUAUUGCACAAUGGGGGAAACCCUGAUGCAGCGACGCCGCGUGGAGGAAGAAGGUCUUCGGAUUGUAAACUCCUGUUGUUGGGGAAAAAGAGGAUGGUACCCAACAAGGAAGUGACGGCUAACUACGUGCCAGCAGCCGCGGUAAUCUGAGCGGGCGUGGCAAGGC